rnacentral:rRNA from 1 species
GAUGAACGCUGGCGGCGUGCCUAAUACAUGCAAGUCGAGCGAACAGACGAGGAGCUUGCUCCUCUGACGUUAGCGGCGGACGGGUGAGUAACACGUGGAUAACCUACCUAUAAGACUGGGAUAACUUCGGGAAACCGGAGCUAAUACCGGAUAAUAUAUUGAACCGCAUGGUUCAAUAGUGAAAGACGGUUUUGCUGUCACUUAUAGAUGGAUCCGCGCCGCAUUAGCUAGUUGGUAAGGUAACGGCUUACCAAGGCAACGAUGCGUAGCCGACCUGAGAGGGUGGUCGGCCACACUGGAACUGAGACACGGUCCAGACUCCGACGGGAGGCAGCAGUAGGGAAUCUUCCGCAAUGGGGGAAAGCCUGACGGAGCAACGCCGCGUGAGUGAUGAAGGUCUUCGGAUCGUAAAACUCUGUUAGUAGGGAAGAACAAAUGUGUAAGUAACUAUGCACGUCUUGACGGUACCUAAUCAGAAAGCCACGGCUAACUACGUG